rnacentral:rRNA from 1 species
CAGCAGCCGCGGGAAUACGUAGGUGGCAAGUGUUGUCCGGAAUUAUUGGGCGUAAAGGGCUCGCAGGCGGUUUCUUAAGUCUGAUGUGAAAGCCCCCGGCUCAACCGGGGAGGGUCAUUGGAAACUGGGAAACUUGAGUGCAGAAGAGGAGAGUGGAAUUCCACGUGUAGCGGUGAAAUGCGUAGAGAUGUGGAGGAACACCAGUGGCGAAGGCGACUCUCUGGUCUGUAACUGACGCUGAGGAGCGAAAGCGUGGGGAGCGAACAGGAUUAGAUACCCCAGUAGUCCCUGUCUCUUAUAA